CAAGAAUGAAAUUAAUCCAGGGAUUAGCCCCAGCUUACACUUGCAAACAUAAAAUUAACAUCCUUGACUUUCCCAAAACCCCAACAAAGAAACACCACCCAUCCACACCGGAAGCAAAAGGUAAACAAAAAGACCCAAACACAAGAGAAAACAAUACCAAGAAUCACCCUUACUUGAAGCUUUCCAUAGCAGAUUCAAUCAUCAA